AUGCCCAGAGUAACGGCCGACCAUGACUCAAGCCGCACCAUCGGGACUCCUCGAGCAACAAGACGGUGCCUUCAAGAACGGAAUGACGCUAUGACGCCGCCACCGCCUUGUAGUCCAGAGGCCGGACCAAAGGUUUCCACUGAGCUCGAGGAAGGGAGUCAGAUCAGGGCCAAAACAACGCUUCCAGAGAGGGAACGACGCCCACGGGCGUCACAUUUGUCAGCCUCUUCGCGACAUGGAUCGUGGAACCCAGCGCCCACCGGAGUCGCUCGAGCAGGUCAACCACCGCAACAGGAAGAGUAG
rnacentral:rRNA from 1 species